rnacentral:rRNA from 2 species
AGUGAAGCGGGGUGAGCUCAAAUUUAAAAUCUGGCUGGUUUACUAGUCCGAAUUGUAGUUUAAAGAAGCGUUUUCGGUGGCAGCCUGGGUAUAAAUCCUUUGGAAUAGGGUAUCAUAGAGGGUGAGAAUCCCGUCUUUGACUCAGUGCAUGCUACUAUGUGAUACGUUUUCAAAGAGUCGAGUUGUUUGGGAAUGCAGCUCAAAAUGGGUGGUAAAUUUCAUCUAAGGCUAAAUAUUGGCGAGAGACCGAUAGCGAACAAGUACCGUGAGGGAAAGAUGAAAAGAACUUUGAAAAGAGAGUUAAACAGUGCGUGAAAUUGUUGAAAGGGAAACGUUUGACACCAGUCAUGCGGGUGGGAAAUCAGUCAAUUGCAAUGGGGAGUGGUGAAGGUUCGGACCGCAAGGCCGGCCUGUGCCUCAUCUCUGCUGUAAGUGAUGCACUUUUCCAUCGGCAGGUCAACAUCAGUUUCUUCUGCUGGACAAAACUCCGAGAGAAGGUAGCAGCUUAGGCUGUGUUAUAGCUCUGGAGCGAUACAGUGGUGGGGACUGAGGUUUUCGCAGUGUGUGCUUUCGGGCAAGGCUGACCGGGUGCUAUGGGAUCGUUCAGUGUACAAUGCAUGCAUUUUGCGCUGUGUCUUUUCUAUACUCGCCUGGCUCGGCUCUUCCACACUUAGGAUGUUGACUUAAUGGUUUUAAACGACC